CCCGUCCGGGUCCGUGGUUGCUCCAGGAUCUCUCCCGUCGCGGUGACGCGGCUGGGCCGAUCCUGGCUAGCCGAUGCCAGCCGCAGGCGAAGCGGUCCACGUAAGGCGACUUCUCGUCGCUCGAUCACGGUGCGGUUUAGGAGUAAGUCCUGCCCCGUCACGACAUCAGAUGUGUCGUGUGCCGGGAGAAGGCCAGUAGUGGGCCAACACGCUCAUCGCAGCGCCGCGAACGUCUCAGCAGGCGAAUGUGGGGUCGAAGACCAGGUCGGCCGGUCGGG
rnacentral:ncRNA from 1 species